CCCUUAGAUGUUCUGGGCCGCACGCGUGCUACACUGAGUGGAUCAGCGGGUCAGGUUGCGCGAAAGUGUUUCCUAAUCUUGAAAUCCGCUCGUGAUGGGGAUUGACGGUUGCAAUUUUCCGUCAUGAACGAGGAAUACCUAGUAAGCGCGGGUCAUCAUCCCGCGCUGAAUACGUCCCUGCCCUUUGUACACACCGCCCGUCGCUCCUACCGAUUGAGUGGUCCGGUGAGGCUUUGGGAUCUGAGCGGAAAGAGCGUUUCGCUGUUUCUGCUCGGAAAACUCAGUCGAACCUUAUCAUUUAGAGGAAGGAGAAGUCGUAACA
rnacentral:rRNA from 1 species